CAAUAGCGUAUAUUAAAGUUGUUGCAGUUAAAAAGCUCGUAGUCGGACUUCUGGCCGUGAGCGCGGGUCCGCCGCAAGGUGUGCACUCGCGUUGGCGGCCAUCCUCUCGAGGAGGCGGCGUGCUCUUUAUUGAGUGUGUCGUCGACUCGGGACCUUUACUUUGAAAAAAUUAGAGUGUUCAAAGCAGGCCUUCGCUUGAAUACAUUAGCAUGGAAUAAUGGAAUAGGACUUUGGUUCUAUUUUGUUGGUUUCUAGGACCGAAGUAAUGAUUAAUAGGGAUAGUUGGGGGCAUUAGUAUUUAAUUGUCAGAGGUGAAAUUCUUGGAUUUAUGAAAGACUAACAUCUGCGAAAGCAUUUGCCAAGGAUGUUUNCAUUGA
rnacentral:rRNA from 1 species